CGCCUAGAAUUGCAACGUAAGUCACUAAACGUGCAAAGAAACCAAGGGCGUAACACCAUUCAACUUGAUCAUCCUCACGUGAUUGUUGCUGUAUUACCUCAAAAACACCAUGAAACAGAGCUCAAGUGCAGAUUCUUUGAGAAAGAAAAGCUGCACUUUCCAUUAAACAUGAGCUGAUCACUUG